AGAGUUUGAUCAUGGCUCAGGAUGAACGCUGGCGGCGUGCCUAACACAUGCAAGUCGAGCGAUUCUCUUCGGAGAAGAGCGGCGGACGGGUGAGUAACGCGUGGGUAACCUGCCCUGUACACACGGAUAACAUACCGAAAGGUAUGCUAAUACGGGAUAACAUAAGAAAUUCGCAUGUUUUUCUUAUCAAAGCUCCGGCGGUACAGGAUGGACCCGCGUCUGAUUAGCUAGUUGGUGAGGUAAUGGCUCACCAAGGCGACGAUCAGUAGCCGACCUGAGAGGUGAUCGGCCACAUUGGAACUGAGACACGGUCCAAACUCCUACGGGAGCA
rnacentral:rRNA from 1 species